GACGAACGCUGGCGGCGUGCCUAAUACAUGCAAGUAGAACGCACAGUUUAUACCGUAGCUUGCUACACCAUAGACUGUGAGUUGCGAACGGGUGAGUAACGCGUAGGUAACCUGCCUGGUAGCGGGGGAUAACUAUUGGAAACGAUAGCUAAUACCGCAUAAUAUUGAUUAUUGCAUGAUAAUUGAUUGAAAGAUGCUAUUGCAUCACUACCAGAUGGACCUGCGUUGUAUUAGCUAGUAGGUGAGGUAACGGCUCACCUAGGCGACGAUACAUAGCCGACCUGAGAGGGUGAUCGGCCACACUGGGACUGAGACACGGCCCAGACUCCUACGGGAGGCAGCAGUAGGGAAUCUUCGGCAAUGGACGAAAGUCUGACCGAGCAACGCCGCGUGAGUGAAGAAGGUUUUCGGAUCGUAAAGCUCUGUUGUAGGAGAAGAACGGGUGUGAGAGUGGAAAGUUCACACUGUGACGGUAUCUUACCAGAAAGGGACGGCUAACUACGUG
rnacentral:rRNA from 1 species